GCAACUCGACUACAUGAAGCUGGAAUCGCUAGUAAUCGCGAAUCAGAAUGUCGCGGUGAAUACGUUCCCGGGUCUUGUACACACCGCCCGUCACACCAUGGGAGUCAGUAACGCCCGAAGCCGGUGACCUAACCGAAAGGGAGGAGCCGUCGAAGGUGGGACCGAUAACUGGGGUGAAGUCGUAACAAGGUAUC
rnacentral:rRNA from 1 species